CGAACGCUGGCGGCGUGCUUAACACAUGCAAGUCGAACGCGAAAAGGACUUCGGUCCUGAGUAAAGUGGCGCACGGGUGAGUAACGCGUAGAUAACCUGUCUUCAUGUCUGGAAUAAUACGCCGAAAGGGGUACUAAUACCGGAUAUUCUUGCUUUUCAUAAGUUAUGCAAGCAAAGGUGGCCUCUGCAUAUGCUACUGCAUGAAGAGGGGUCUGCGUACCAUUAGCUAGUAGGUGGGGUAAUGGCCUACCUAGGCGACGAUGGUUAGCGGGUCUGAGAGGAUGAUCCGCCACACUGGCACUGGAACACGGGCCAGACUCCUACGGGAGGCAGCAGUGAGGAAUAUUGCGCAAUGGGGGAAACCCUGACGCAGCGACGCCGCGUGAGUGAAGGAAGGCCUUCGGGUCGUAAAGCUCUGUCAAGAGGAAAGAAGUGUACAAUGGCUAAUACCUGUUGUAUUUGACGGUACCUCUAAAGGAAGCACCGGCUAACUCCGUGCCAGCAGCCGC
rnacentral:rRNA from 1 species